rnacentral:miRNA from 1 species
GUGGCCUAGACUUGAACUACC